AAUAAGUAUAGUUUUACACUAUUUACGUUCAAUGUUUGACCGUUUAUUUUAUUUAAAAAAUUUUAUGAUUAGUAUUUAUUAUUAUUAUUAUUAUUAUAUGAUAAAACAUGAAUAAUACUUCAUGUGUGAUUAAAUAUUUUCAAUUUUUUCAUAAUUUUUUUAAAUAAGACGGUCAGUCAAAUAUUGGGUACGGAUAUCCACGGCUACAUUUAUU
rnacentral:pre_miRNA from 1 species